CCUACGGGAGGCAGCAGUAGGGAAUAUUGCUCAAUGGGGGAAACCCUGAAGCAGCAACGCCGCGUGGAGGAUGAAGGUUUUAGGAUUGUAAACUCCUUUUGUUAGAGAAGAUUAUGACGGUAUCUAACGAAUAAGCACCGGCUAACUCCGUGCCAGCAGCCGCGGUAAUACGGAGGGUGCAAGCGUUACUCGGAAUCACUGGGCGUAAAGAGUACGUAGGCGGGGUAAUAAGUCAGAUGUGAAAUCCUGUGGCUUAACUACAGAACUGCAUUUGAAACUGUUACUCUGGAGUGUGGGAGAGGUGGGUGGAAUUCUUGGUGUAGGGGUAAAAUCCGUAGAGAUCAAGAGGAAUACUCAUUGCGAAGGCGACCUGCUGGAACAUAACUGACGCUGAUGCACGAAAGCGUGGGGAGCAAACAGGAUUAGAUACCCCGGUAGUC
rnacentral:rRNA from 1 species